rnacentral:misc_RNA from 1 species
CUGCUUCUGGGCUUUUUAUUAGAUUCUCAAUGACGAAGAUAAAUAUAGAAACAACUUGAAGAUUUCGAAAGGGACCACUUCUAGCUGAAUCCAUACGCUGAUAGGACUCCGUUGCAGCUUUUAAUUGUACAUCAUCUAGUGCCAUCAAAACAUCCAGCUCUUUUAUACACGAUGCAAAAGUAAAAGGGAACUCGUCCAAACUGGAUUUUAAGAAGAAGAAACUUAUUGUUCUAAUGAAAA